UAAAUAUUGUACUGCUGUAUGGAAAGAAGAGUUAAAAACCAUACAAGAAAACAUUCCUAUUUGUUGGAUAGAUAUGAUAGAGAAGUGUGUAUGUUAUCCUUCUGAGCCGGAUAGACCAGUCAUUCAAAUGAUUACAUAUUGCACAGAGCCUGACAUUCAAUGGUUUACAUUUCCACUACAAAAAGUGAAACGUUUUAGUGGUGCUAAUGUUUUUGAUUUUAUUGAAAAUGGAACUUGAAAAUUUAUAUAAUGUAACUACUGAGGAAGACACUAUGUCAGCAAAAGUAGAGCUAAUAAAUACAAAUAAAAACAACGAUCUUCAAUGUUUUUACAAAGCAACUGUAGCUAACAAAAAGUUGACAUCAAUGCAGCAUUCUUUAUCUACUAAGAAAUGAAAAGUUCUUAAAGCCUGUUAAGAUACAAUAACAGAAACACUGGUGGAUGAUCCUGUGAUUCAAAUUUUUUUAGAAAAACCAAAUAAUGGUAAAAAAACGAGAAGGAUGGUUGGUUAAAUCAAAUUCACCUAAAAAAGCACAAAAGCGGAACAUAAAUGAAGAAGCUGUUGACGAUUCAUCUGGUGAGUUUUCACACAAUGGGGAUAUACAUUUUAUUUUAAAUAAUGGUACAUUACUUAAAAAUAAAGAAGACAAAAUAAAUGAUUAUCUCCCUGGCAAGAGUUUUAAAGGUGGACGACCAAAAAAAAUUCAAGUUGACCAAUUUUCUAUAGACAUGGGAAACUUUCAGCAAAAAGUUUUGUUUUGUUUAAGCGACCUUGAAGAAAAAAUGCAACUAAUCGAAAAACAACAAUCAAAGAUUCUUUUAUUUCUAUCAAAGAGUGACAAUGAACAUGUAGAUGAUUUUGAACAAACGACUACCACCGAAGAACUUUUGUCACUCGAAAAAAAAAUAGUUGACAACAAAAAAAUUAAACUAACGCUUCAGAGGAAGGUGGAAGUUAUAGGUUUAACAUGCAAGUCCAUGAGCGAGCAUGUUCGUUGUUCUCUAAAUGUCAUGCAAGUUGCAAAUAAAUAUAAAUGUUAUGUAUGGUAAUAAUGUACCGUUAAAGUCAUAUACGGACCAUUUAUUUUCGGACCAUCAUCUUCCAACUUUCGGACCAUCAUCUUCCAACAUUCAUUAUUACUCAGAUCAUUAUCUAAUGUUUGGAAUUUCUCAGAAAAAGAAACCAAACGAGUUUUAUCAGAGUGACUUAAACAAGCAGGAAAACGUUUAAGUGGUCUACCACUAUGUUAGGCUGUCAAACUUUUUAUUAAAUGAUGAUUUUAGUUAUUUUAUUAAUAAAAGUAUUAAAUACUUA
rnacentral:misc_RNA from 1 species